rnacentral:rRNA from 1 species
GACGAACCGAGCGAACGUUGUUCGGAAUCACUGGGCUUAAAGGGCGCGUAGGCGGAUCUGCAAGUCGGGGGUGAAAUCCCGAGGCUCAACCUCGGAACUGCCUUCGAUACUGCGGGUCUCGAGUCCGGGAGAGGUGAGUGGAAUUCCUAGUGUAGAGGUGAAAUUCGUAGAUAUUAGGAAGAACACCAGUGGCGAAGGCGGCUCACUGGCCCGGUACUGACGCUGAGGCGCGAAAGCGUGGGGAGCAAACAGG